GACGAACGCUGGCGGCGUGCUUAACACAUGCAAGUCGAACGAAGUGGCGAACGGGUGAGUAACGCGUAAUCAACCUGCCCUUCAGCGGGGGAUAACAGUUGGAAACGACUGCUAAUACCGCAUACUGUAGGAGGGGAUUGCGUCGGAUUAGCUAGUUGGAGGGGUAACGGCCCACCAAGGCGAUGAUCAGUAGCCGGUCUGGGAGGAUGGACGGCCACAGUGGGACUGGGACACGGCCCCGACUCCUACGGGAAGCAGCAGUGGGGAAGCUUCCGCAAUGGACGAAAGUCUGACGGUGCAACGCCGCGGGAGUGAUGACGGCCUUCGGGUUGUAAAGCUCUGUUAAUCGGGACGCGGUACCGGAAUAGAAAGCCACGGCUAACUACGUGCCAGCAGCCGCGGUAAUUC
rnacentral:rRNA from 1 species